rnacentral:rRNA from 1 species
AGUGAACGCUGGCGGCAGGCCUAACACAUGCAAGUCGAACGGCAGCACAAGAGAGCUUGCUCUCUGGGUGGCGAGUGGCGGACGUGUGAGGAAUGCAUCGGAAUCUGCCCAUUUGUGGGGGAUAACCUCGGGAAACCGGGACUAAUACCGCAUACGACCUACGGGUGAAAGCAGGGGAUCUUCGGACCUUGCGCAGAUGGAUGAGCCGAUGCCGGAUUAGCUAGUUGGAGGGGUAAAGGCCCACCAAGGCGACGAUCCGUAGCUGGUGUGAGAGGAUGAUCAGCGACACUGGGACUGAGACACGGCCCAGACUCCUACGGGAGGCAGCAGUGGGGAAUAUUGGACAAUGGGCGGAAGCCUGAUCCAGCCAUGCCGCGUGUGUGAAGAAGGCCUUCGGGUUGUAAAGCACUUUUGUUGGGAAAGAAAAGCAGCCGGUUAAUACCCGGUUGUCAUGACGGUACCCAAAGAAUAAGCACCGGCUAACUUCGUG